rnacentral:lncRNA from 1 species
CCAGUAAGGCAAACGUCCCGGGCUUUCAGCACAAGUCUAACCCUGCCUGUAUAUUUCACAAGGAGGGAAAAAUCGGAAUCCUGGAAGCUACGAGGGAGCCUUGGGACAAGGAAUCCAAGGAAGGGAUUUUCGGCCAGUGCGCGCCGAUCCGGAGGCGCAGGCUUGGCCGUCGGGCGAGGCUCGCCUUGUCCUGAAAGGUCGAAAGAAAGGCCCGACCCGUCGCACCGGGAAGCUCCCGCCGCCUUGACGCCGAGGGCCAGCCGGGCGAGGGCCCGCGCCUCCUCCCGCGCAACGCCCGUUCCUUGCCUCGGGACGUGCGCAGGACAACGUCCCGCUCCGUUUGGUGCUCCAGCUUCGUGAGCAGAGAUGCCCGAGGCGUCGGAGUAGAGGACAGGGUCUGAGCAACGGGCGGGUCUGGUUUAAAAAAAAGUGAAAGAAAUGCCUAAAGACGCGCUGUUAAUACCUCUUCAGCCCCGAGGGUUACUCUCCUGCGGCCCACGCUUCCCUCAAGGAGCGGUUCCAUUUCCACGUAUCCCAUCUUCUCGUCCUGGGAGCGGUACUAUUUCGCGCUGGAGAAGGCGAGGUUUCCCUUUGCAGCGAGUGCCUUGGGCCGUGGAAGGAGUGUCCCACAAGCUUAAACUGGAAUGUGCGAAAGAGUGGCCCAGAGGCAUCCACAGUGCUGGACCCAUCAUUACAGUGAAUCUAUGGACUAGUGUUGCUAAGGGUGAGUCUUCCAGGACCAAGAAAAGUGGCUUAAAGGAAGAUGAGGUCUGGACAAUUCCUUUGAUAAAUUGGUUGGUUUUAAAUGGUGUUUCUAUAAUCUACAUAUUAACUGAGAAGUGAGGCUCACUGAGGUCAAAGGGACUUAGCCUCAUACACCUACUUAGGAUUGCAUCCUAAUCAUCAAUCUUUAUCAGUGGUGAAAUGGAUAAUGGUGUAUAAGUAUCUCGAAAAGACAUCUUGUGAACCAUAUAGAUCUUCACUCAGGAUAAACAGUGGAAAGAUG